rnacentral:rRNA from 1 species
CAUGGGGUAAUACCGAAUACGCUCAUUUGGCUGUGGGCGGAUGAGGAAAGGCGCUUCGGCGUCGCCACUGCGAUGAGCCUGCGCCCCAUUACUAGUUGGUAGGGUAAAGGCCUACCAAGGCGACAUGGGUAGCGGCCUGAGAGGGUGAUCGGCACACUGGGACUGAGAUACGGCCCAUACUCCUACGGGAGGCAGCAGCUAAGAAUCUUCCGCAUGGACGAAAGUCUGACGGAGCGACGCCGCGUGGGUGAAGAACGCGGAAGGUUGUAAGCCCUUUCUCGUGAGGAAUAGCGAGGAGGGAAUGCCUGUGCGAUGACGGUAGGUGAGGAAUAAGUCCCGGCCAAUUACGUGCCAGCAGCCGCGGUAACACGUAUGGGACGAGCGUUGUUCGGAAUCAUUGGGCGUCAAGGGCGCGUAGGCGGCGAGGUAAGCCUGGUGUGAAAGAGCGCAGCUUAACUGCGGAACCGCGCUAGGAACUGCUUUGCUUGAGUUCAGGAGGGGGAGCUGGAAUUCCAGGUGUACGGGUGAAAUCUGUAGAUAUCUGGAAGAACACCGGCGGCGAAGGCGAGCUCCUGGCCAUGAACUGACGCUGAGGCGCGAAAGCGUGGGGAGCGAACAGGAUUAGAUACCCUGGUAGUCCACGCUGUAAACGAUGUGCACUAGGUGUUGGGCCACGAAGGUUCAGUGCCGGAGUCAACGCGUUAAGUGCACCGCCUGGGGAGUAUGCUCGCAAGGGUGAAACUCAAAGGAAUUGACGGGGGCCCGCACAAGCGGUGGAGCAUGUGGUUUAAUUCGAUGAUACGCGAGGAACCUUACCAGGGUUUGACAUAUGCCGGAAUGUGCAGGAGACUGCGCAGCCCUUAGGGGCCGGUAUACAGGUGAUGCAUGGCCGUCGUCAGCUCGUGCCGUGAGGUGUUGGGUUAAGUCCCGCAACGAGCGCAACCCAUACCGUCUGUUGCCAGCAUUCAGUUGGGGACUCAGGCGGAACUGCCGGUGACAAACCGGAGCGAAGGUGGGGACGACGUCAGGUCAUCAUGGCCCUUAUAUCUUGGGCUACACACGUGCUACAAUGGCCGGUACAGAGCGAAGCAACACCGCGAGGUAGAGCAAAUCGCAGAAAGCCGCGUCUCAGUUCGGAUUGGACUCUGAACCCGACUCCAUGAAGUUGGAAUCGCUAGUAAUCGCGCAUCAGCA